UGGGGAAUCUUGCACAAUGGGGGAAACCCUGAUGCAGCGACGCCGCGUGAGCGAUGAAGCCCUUCGGGGUGUAAAGCUCUUUCGGCAGGGAAGAUUAUGACGGUACCUGCAGAAGCAGCUGCGGCUAACUACGUGCCAGCAGCCGCGGUAAUACGUAGGCAGCGAGCGUUGUUCGGAGUUACUGGGCGUAAAGGGUGUGUAGGCGGUUGUUUAAGUUUGGUGUGAAAUCUCCCGGCUCAACUGGGAGGGUGCGCCGAAUACUGAAUGACUAGAGUGCGGGAGAGGUGAGUGGAAUUCCUGGUGUAGCGGUGAAAUGCGUAGAUAUCAGGAGGAACACCGGUGGUGUAGACGGCUCACUGGACCGUAACUGACGCUGAGACACGAAAGCGUGGGUAGCAAACA
rnacentral:rRNA from 1 species